GUGCUCGUUUCAGUAUCCUGUAUACUAAAAUUGUAACAACACCCAGAAGAUUAGUAUGGUCCUUGUGCAAGGGUGACACACGUAAAGCAUCCCAUAUUACCAUAUUUUU
ensembl:snRNA U6 U6 spliceosomal RNA